AGAUAUCAGCUCUGCUCCAAAGACUCUCACUGUCCAAAGUAUCACAGGAACAUGGACACCAGCAGCUGCAGGAGUUUCUGCAGCUCUGCUGCUUUUAAUACUUCUCACUGUCUGCUGGUGGAGGAGAAAAAAGAGGAUUUCAAACCAGCCUUCAAGAAGUGCAACACUAGGCAACAAACAGCAGGUGAACCCUGAUCCCAUAUAUGAAAACAUCCCAAAUCAUUAUUGCAGACUGCACCUACCUAUGACCCACACAACUGAUCUUUACUGCAAUAUUGACCCACUGCCUGUUCACUAAAGUAACUUUGUUACCAUAGUGAUUUAAAGGGCCUUUUUCUCUUAUAGCUUCCACAACACAGCAGCGACACCACAUUUGGUGGACCUGCCAAUGGUUUUCAUACUGUUGUGGAAGUUUUCCAUUUAAAUAAAGCCUGCAGACGAGUGGUAGCUAACAUUCUUUAAUCAAAAACAAAGAACAGACAAACCAG
ensembl:lncRNA